CUCUCCACCCCUCUUCUUCUAUUGCUCAGGUUGAAGCAGAAUUUGCCCGUCUUACAUCUGUUGACCUGAAAGGGUUCCUUUUUGCUGUGCUUGACCAUUAUGGAGAGGUUCGUGGAGCUGUACAAAAUCAAGAGCGGCAUAGGAGGGCUAACUAGGCUCAUAAGAUGCUUCGGAGAUGAUAGCCCUACACAAAGGAAGAGGACAGAGGACCUCAUUUUCUAAAGGAAGAUCCCUCACACACUUUCAAGACUGUGAAGCCGACAGGUAUUGAAGACACGUUUUCUAAGAGGAUGAAAGUUGGCAUUGCGAUGGUGAAAGAAGAAGACAUCAUCGAUGUGUUGGUUGUCCUUGAGGCAGCAGUAAUCCUGUCUAA